CUCAUAGAGGGGAAGUAGCCUUUCGAAAGGAAGAUUAANACCGCAUAAGAUUGUAGUACCGCAUGGUACAGCAAUUAAAGGAGUAAUCCGCUAUGAGAUGGACCCGCGUCGCAUUAGCUAGUUGGUGAGGUAACGGCNCACCAAGGCGACGAUGCGUAGCCGACCUGAGAGGGUGAUCGGCCACAUUGGGACUGAGACACGGCCCAGACUCCUACGGGAGGCAGCAUG
rnacentral:rRNA from 1 species